rnacentral:rRNA from 1 species
UACGUAGGGGGCGAGCGUUGUCCGGAUUUAUUGGGCGUAAAGAGCUCGUAGGCGGUUUGGUAAGUCGGAUGUGAAAUCUCCAGGCUCAACCUGGAGGGGUCAUUCGAGACUGCUAUGACUAGAGUUCGGUAGAGGAGUGUUGGAAUUCCUGGUGGAGCGGUGAAAUGCGCAGAUAUCAGGAGGAACACCCGUAGCGAAGGCGGCACUCUGGGCCGAUACUGACGCUGAGGAGCGAAAGCGUGGGGAGCGAACAGG